rnacentral:lncRNA from 1 species
CCGACCUCAACCCAGCUCUCUUUCUGUCUUGUCAGUGGGAGAGGACUGAGUCAGGAGAAUAUCAAGCUGUUUUAUUUCAGCAAAUGCUCAUAACAGCUGUAUUGCUGUGCGAAAAGCGCUGUGCUUUAAUCCUGUUACCUUAAAUUUAGGUCGAACUCUACCUUGUCACACUGCUCAGCCUUCUGAGCCUUUCUCCAUCUCAGACAGAGACACGAAGGCUUCUUAGAACAACUGCUUCUUAUUGUUAUGAAGGUUAAAUGAGUUACUUUGGGAAGGCAGAUUGUUAACCACAGUGCUCUAUAAAAGGUGUGAUCAGGUAUUAACUUGCUGGCUUCCCCUCUGUUAGAGUGGGGAGCACCCUUUACAUGUUAAUUCAUCUUGAAAGGGAGGUGUAGACUUCAGGUAGGUCAGGUGCAUAUAAACUUCUUGUGGUGCAACCUCAGACCAACUCUUCCUCCUCGUAAGAACUGCUGCACUCCAACUGCAGGAGGUGUAUGUCUACACCUUGCCUCUUGCAUUAAGUUGUAAAUAUUAGUGAAGGUACCAAACCUCAUUCAUUAAACUUAGCACAGUGCCUGGUACAUGGCAGGCACUCAAUGAACACCCGUAAUCUUGUCUUAUCUCCUUAUACCUGCAGUUAAUGUCAUAUACAAUAGAUAUUUGAUUAAAGAAUACAUACACAUAAAGCUUAGCUGGGUGCUGUGGCUCAUGCCUGUAAUCCCAGCACUUUUGGAGGCCUAAGCAGGUGGAUUAUUUGAGCUCAGAAGUUCGAGACCAGCCUGGCUAACAUGUGAAACCCCGUCUCUAUUAAAAAUACAAAAAUUAGCUGGGUGUGGUGGCGCACACCUGUAAUCCUAGCUACUCAAGAGGUGGAGGCAGGAGAAUUGCUGGAAUCUUAAGAGGUGGAAGUUGCAGUGAGCAGAGAUUGUACCACUGCACUCCAGCCUGGGCGACAGAGUGAGAGAUACCGUGUCUCAAAAACAAAAAAUAAAACGUAGAAUAAGUUAGGAAAUUAUUUGUUAAAUAUCUGGAAAAGCUCUUUUACCAGAUAUCCAAAUGGCUUCUUUGCCUACUUCAGAUCUUUGCUCAAAUGUUGCCUUCUUAAGGAGGCCUUCCCUGCACAUCCUACUGAAAAUAUGCAGAUUCCUCCAGCAUCUCCGAGGAAUCCAAAAGCCUGGCAUACUGGCAAAAGCAUACACAGACCAUCUACAACAUGUUUGGACUUUCUGACUUGUCGUAAGCAUCCCUAUUUUUAA